rnacentral:tRNA from 1 species
GGACCCGUAGCUCAGCGGUAGAGCAUCUGAUUCCAGCUUGGGUUCCAUUCAUGGAUUCAUUCCACUGCCUCCAGAAGGUCAUCCGUUCAAAUCGGGUCGGGUUCA